rnacentral:tRNA from 1 species
CAGGGGAUGGCCAAGCUCGGUUUAAGGCGCGCGGUCCGGACCCGCGAGAGCGGAGGUUCGAAUCCUCCUCCCCUGACCA